rnacentral:rRNA from 1 species
AGUGAACGCUGGCGGUAGGCCUAACACAUGCAAGUCGAACGGCAGCACAGUAAGAGCUUGCUCGUACGGGUGGCGAGUGGCGGACGGGUGAGGAAUACAUCGGAAUCUACUUUUUCGUGGGGGAUAACGUAGGGAAACUUACGCUAAUACCGCAUACGACCUACGGGUGAAAGCAGGGGAUCUUCGGACCUUGCCCGAUUGAAUGAGCCGAUGUCGGAUUAGCUAGUUGGCGGGGUAAAGGCCCACCAAGGCGACGAUCCGUAGCUGGUCUGAGAGGAUGAUCAGCCACACUGGAACUGAGACACGGUCCAGACUCCUACGGGAGGCAGCAGUGGGGAAUAUUGGACAAUGGGCGCAAGCCUGAUCCAGCCAUACCGCGUGGGUGAAGAAGGCCUUCGGGUUGUAAAGCCCUUUUGUUGGGAAAGAAAAGCAGCAGGUUAAUACCCCGCUGUUCUGACGGUACCCAAAGAAUAAGCACCGGCUAACUUCGUG